CUCGUAGUUGGAUCUUGGGAGCGGGCGGGCGGUCUGCCACGAGGCGAGCCACCACCCAUCCCCGCCCCUUGCCUCUUGGCGCCCCCCUGAUGCUCUUAGCUGAGUGUCCUGCAGCCCGAAGCGUUUACUUUGAAAAAAUUAGAGUGUUCAAAGCAGGUCCGAGCCGCCUGGAUACCUCAGCUAGGAAUAAUGGAAUAGGACCGCGGUUCUAUUCUGUUGGUUUUCGGAACUGAGGCCAUGAUUAAGAGGGACGGGCGGGGGCAUUCGUAUUGCGCCGCUAGAGGUGAAAUUCUUGGGCCGGCGCAGUUCGGACCAGAGUGAAAGCAUUUGCCAAGAAUGUUUUCAUUAAUCAAGAACGAAAGUCGGAGGUUCGAAGAUGAUCAGAUACAGUCGUAGUUCCGACCAUAAACGAUGGCAACUGGCGAUGUGGCGGCGUUAUUCCCAUGACCCGCUGGGCAGCUUCCAAGAAACCAAAGUCUUUGGGUUUUUAGGUUCCGGGGGGAGUAUGGUUGCAAAGCUGAAACUUAAAGGAAUUGGUGGAAGGGACCAGCAGGAGUGGCGCCUAUGGCUUAAUUUGACUCAACAUGGGAAAAAUCAC
rnacentral:rRNA from 1 species